rnacentral:rRNA from 1 species
AUCCGAUACCCGGGAGUGAGACUGCCACAGAUAAGUGCGGUAGUCGAAAGGGAAACAGCCCAGAUCACCGGCUAAGGCCCCCAAGUGCAAGCUAAGUGGCAAAGGAAGUGAGAUUCCCCAGACAACCAGGAGGUUGGCUUAGAAGCAGCCAUCCUUUAAAGAGUGCGUAACAGCCCACUGGUCGAGGGGUUUCGCGCCGAAAAUGUAACGGGGCUCAAGCUUGCCGCCGAAGCCGUGAAUGUUCAGGUACAGAGGCUAACAUCCUGCUCCCAAUGGUGGAUCUACCGGGAAUCCGGCGAUCGGGAAACUCCGACUUCGGUUGGAGCGGAACGGCCAAAGGGCUCCCGGCGGUGAACCCGGCGGGAAAUGGGUCGGAUCCUCUGAAUACUGCCUGGGUAUGGUAGGGGAGCGUUCCUCGGGCGAUGAAGGUUAGUCGUGAGGCUGGCUGGAGCGCGGGGAAGUGAGAAUCCUGGAAUGAGUAACGUAAACUAGGGUGAAAAUCCCUGGCGCCGAAAGCCCAAGGUUUCCUACGCAACGUUUAUCGGCGUAGGGUUAGUCGGUCCUAAGCCGUAGGCAAGCGCCGAAGGCGAUGGACAGCAGGUUAAUAUUCCUGCACCGCCGUUGUUUCGCUUUAAAACUAAGGAGGGGUGCGGAAGGGUAGGUAGGGCAUGCCUAUUGGACAUGGUGUGUUCUUCUCCGUAGGCCAAGCUGGGGCAGGCAAAUCCACUCCAGCGUUACGAGCCGAGAGAGGAGGGAAUCGAUCCUUCGGGAUACGAAACUCUACUGAUCCCAAGCCGACGAGAAAAGCUUCGUAGUUAUGGAACAGGGGCGACCGUACCGCAAACCGCCACUGGUGGGCAAGGAUAAAAGUCCUAAGGCGUUCGAGCUAACCUCCGUUAAGGAACUAGACAAAAGAGCCCUGUAACUUUGGGAGAAAGGGCCCCCCGGUAGGUGAAGCCACUAGCUGGUGGAGCGUUCUGGGGGCGCAGAGAAGAAGGCCGGGCGACUGUUUAACAAAAACACAGGUCUGUGCUAAGGGGAAACCCUACGUAUACAGGCUGACGCCUGCCCAGUGCCGGAAGGUUAAGGGGAGCGGUGAGAGCUGCGAACUGAAGCCCCGGUGAACGGCGGCCGUAACUCUAACGGUCAACCGGUUAGUCCAAACAGGCCCCGGGCGCAAGCCCUGGCCUCUAAGGCUGACCAAGGCCGUUAUAAAAUCUGGCUAUAUGCUGGAAACUCCGAGUAUCCGGCGCUACCCGUUGAUCUAAUCUGGGUCAAUUGGUGACAAUGCGUCCGGUGCGGACAAUCAGCAGGAAAGACCGAGGAGAAGAAAGGCCGGACCAUGUCCAUGGAAAGGCACGGACCUCCCCGGAAUCCUCAGAGACCAUACGCCAGACCCCUGUCGGAACGUGGGGAAGAUAUGGUCCGAUCUGUGUGGCGACAUGCAGAGGCCGGCAGAAAUGUCCGGCCCCGUCUAACUACCCCAUCCUAACCUUCCCCUUCAAUAAGGGAAGGGACCAAUGGAGAAGUUUGAUGAGUAACAAAUUGCCUAAGGUAGCGAAGUCCCUUGUCGGGUAAGUUCCGACCCGCAUGAAUGGUUGAACGACUUGGCCAUUGUCUCGACGAAGGCCUCGGUGAAAUUACGGUGCCCGUGAAGACGCGGGCGACCCGCGGCAGGACAAAAAGACCCCGUGGAGCUUUACUGUAGCCUGGUAUUGGGCUGGGAGCUGUCAUGUGUAGGAUAGGUGGGAGGCUAUGAAGCCCCAACGCUAGUUGGGGUGGAGCCGCCGUUGAAAUACCACCCUUGGCUGUUUUUGGUUCUAACCUCAGCAAAACUGGGGGACAGUGCCUGGUGGGCAGUUUAACUGGGGCGGUUGCCUCCUAAAAUGUAACGGAGGCGCCCAAAGGUCCCCUCAGGACGGAUGGAAAUCGUCCUAAGAACGCAUUGGCAUAAGGGGGCUUGACUGUAAGACCUACAAGUCGAGCAGGGACGAAAGUCGGGCAAAGUGAUCCUACGGCACCGUGUGGAAGGGCCGUGGCUUAUCGGAUAAAAGCUACCCCGGGGAUAACAGGCUUAUCUCGCCCAAGAGUUCACAUCGACGGCGAGGUUUGGCACCUCGAUGUCGGCUCGUCCCAUCCUGGGGCUGAAGGCGGUCCCAAGGGUCCGGCUGUUCGCCGGUUAAAGGGGUACGUGAGUUGGGUUCAGAACGUCGUGAGACAGUUCGGUCUCUAUCCGCCGUGGGCGCAGGAGGUUUGAGGGAACCUUUCCCUAGUACGAGAGGACCGGGAAGGACAGACCUAUGGUGUUCCAGUUGUUCCGCCAGGAGCAGCGCUGGGUAGCCAAGUCUGGCAGUGAUAAGCGCUGAAGGCAUCUAAGCGCGAAGCAUCCCCCAAGAUGAGACCUCCCUUCCCGAUUUGCGUCGGGAGUAAGAUCGCAGAGAGACUAUCUGCUUGAUAGGCCGGAUGUGUAAGGACGGUAACGUUUUCAGCAUACCGGUACUAACCGAUCGAGAGGCUUGACCCAC